AUGGCCGGGGUCCCUUUCCUUCUAGGAGUGCUCAAAUACUGCUCGGGUUGUCUUGCUCAGACCGCGCCGACUCAGCCGCCUUCGGUGUCUGUCUCUCCCGGACAAACUGCUACGCUCACCUGCACGGGCAGUAGCAUUGGUAGCUACGGAGCGAGUUGGUACCAACAGAAACCUGGGAGUGCCCCCCUGACCGUUAUGUACUAUAAUAAUAAGAGACCCUCCGGUGUCUCGGACCGGUUCUCUGGUUCCAAGUCCGGUAACACGGCCACAUUGACCAUCACUGGAGUCCAAGUCCAGGACGAGGCUGAUUAUUACUGCAGCGCUUAUGAUACUGACUCCCUGCCCUGGGGU